rnacentral:rRNA from 1 species
AACGUAGGACACAAGCGUUAUCCGGAGUUACUGGGCGUAAAGGGCGUGUAGGCGGACCUAUAAGUCUAUUCUGAAAGCUCCUGGCUAAACUGGGAGAGGCGAAUGGAGACUGUAGAUCUAGAGUGAGGAAGAGGAAAGUGGAAUUCCGCGUGUAGUGGUGAAAUGCGUAGAGAUGCGGAGGAACACCAAUGGCGAAGGCAAUCCCCCUGGGCCUGCACUGACGCUCAUGCACGAAAAGCGUGGGGGAGCAAACAGG